AAAUCAGGUGCCAAGAGUUCACUUUGAAUAACGUUCUAGAAUUCAAAAGUACAAACCAUAGUCAGAGUUCCAAAGUCAAGCCAAAGAAUCAAGGGUCAUAGUUCAGUUCAAAUCCAUAAGUCAAAACCAGGAAGGUUGUCCAAGAUUCAUAUUCCAGGGUUGAGGAAACAACAAGGUCCAAGACAAGGUUACAGGAGCAGCAGAUUCAAAAACAGGUUUGCAGGAAAAAGGAUUAAAGUCCAGAGAACUAUAUUGAAAGUAAAUUGCCAAGAACAUUGUGUGACAAGACUGCAGUAUCUAAAAGUCUCCACAUGUGGCAAUCACACAAACCUGGAAGAACCUUUGCCUGAGUGGCAUAUACAGAAAUGAUACUUCAUCCCUUUAUGUAUGAAAUCAACAACAUGUUCCUGUCUGAUUGGGCAUUCAUGGAGAAAAGGGAUGUGAACUGAAAAAAUAGUGUGUGUCUUUUCAAAGACAGCAUCAUGUUAUGUUUCUCCCUUUACAGAAAUUUAUGUUACACGGUAUUAGACCAUGGGCUAAGCUUAAUGUAACAUGAUACAUUAAA